rnacentral:rRNA from 1 species
AUUGAACGCUGGCGGCGUGCUUAACACAUGCAAGUCGAUCGGCAACGCGGGGGCAACCCUGGCGACGAGAGGCGGACGGGUGAGGAACGCUUGGGAAUCUGCCCAUCAGCGGGGGACAACCCGGGGAAACCCGGGCUAAUACCGCAUACGCUCCACGGAGGAAAGCCGGGGACCGCAAGGCCUGGCACUGAUGGAUGAGCCCAAGUCGGAUUAGCUAGUUGGCGGGGUAACGGCCCACCAAGGCGACGAUCCGUAGCUGGUCUGCGAGGACGAUCAGCCACACUGGGACUGAGACACGGCCCAGACUCCUACGGGAGGCAGCAGUGGGGAAUAUUGGACAAUGGGGGAAACCCUGAUCCAGCGACGCCGCGUGGGUGAAGAAGGCCUGCGGGUUGUAAAGCCCUUUCGGUAGGGACGAAAGCUCUCGACCUAACACGUCGGGAGGAUGACUUAACCUACAAAAGAAGCACCGGCUAACUCUGUGCCAGCCGCCGCCGUAAUAC